rnacentral:tRNA from 1 species
AGCAGCGUGGCCGAGUUGUUAGGGCAUGGGCCUAGGAGUCAGAAGGACCUGGGUUCUAAUCCCAGCUCUGCCA